CCCUCUUUACACCCACCAUCUUCUGGGGGAGAAAAGUCUUGGAUUUUCUUUAUAAUUUUUUUUUCUGUCUCUCUCUUUUGUUUGGUUUUUGUUUUUCGGUGUUUUGCCUUUUUUUGUUUUGGGUUGUGUUUUAGGUUAUUCUCUCCUCUCUCUCUCUCUCUCUCUCUCUCUCUCUCUCUCUCUCUCUCUCUCUCCUCAGUGAUAGGGAGAAAGAUCUCUUUGGCUAACCGAGCUUGCAGACAGUGAACCCGCCUUCCACGUUGGUGUGAAGACAGAAGUGAGGUGGGGGGCAGGGAGGGGAUGUGAGAGAGUCUAAGAGCGAGAGGGAUCAGAGAGAGAGAAAGAGAGAGAGAGAGAGGAGGAGGAGGCGGCGGAGGAGGAGGACUGGUGUAGGGUGGAAAGGAAGAGUGAGCGCGAGCAAGUUGAAGGGAGGGGGUGUAAGAGCCAGCGAAUUCUUUUUCUUUUUCUGUUAUUAUUUUGACGACUCCCGAGUUGCGCCCAUGCUCUUGUCAGCUUCGUUUUAGGCGUAGCAUGGCCAGGCAGAAGAAAAUGGGGCAAAGCAUGCUCCAGGCGGUCUUCUUUUUAGUCCUGGGGCUUUUGGGUCAUUCUCACGGAGGAUUCCCCAACACCAUCAGCAUAGGUGGACUUUUCAUGAGAAAUACGGUGCAGGAGCACAGCGCUUUCCGCUUUGCCGUGCAGUUAUACAACACCAACCAGAACACCACGGAGAAGCCCUUCCAUUUGAAUUACCACGUAGAUCACUUGGAUUCCUCCAAUAGUUUUUCUGUGACUAAUGCUUUCUGCUCCCAGUUCUCGAGAGGGGUGUAUGCCAUCUUUGGAUUUUAUGACCAGAUGUCAAUGAACACUCUGACCUCCUUCUGUGGGGCCCUGCACACGUCUUUUGUCACCCCCAGCUUUCCCACUGAUGCAGAUGUGCAGUUUGUCAUCCAGAUGCGCCCAGCGUUGAAGGGUGCUAUUCUGAGUCUUCUGGGUCACUACAAGUGGGAGAAGUUUGUGUAUCUCUAUGACACAGAAAGAGGAUUUUCCAUCCUCCAAGCAAUUAUGGAAGCAGCAGUGCAAAACAACUGGCAAGUGACAGCAAGGUCUGUGGGAAACAUAAAGGACGUCCAAGAAUUCAGGCGCAUCAUUGAAGAAAUGGACAGGAGACAGGAAAAGCGAUACCUGAUUGACUGCGAAGUCGAAAGGAUUAACACAAUUUUGGAACAGGUUGUGAUCCUGGGGAAACAUUCAAGAGGUUAUCACUACAUGCUUGCUAACCUGGGUUUUACCGACAUUUUGCUAGAAAGAGUCAUGCAUGGAGGAGCUAACAUUACAGGAUUCCAGAUUGUCAACAAUGAAAACCCUAUGGUUCAGCAGUUCAUACAGCGCUGGGUGAGGCUGGAUGAAAGGGAAUUCCCUGAAGCCAAGAAUGCACCACUAAAGUAUACAUCUGCGUUGACGCACGAUGCAAUAUUAGUCAUAGCAGAAGCUUUCCGCUAUCUGAGGAGGCAGCGAGUGGAUGUGUCCCGGAGAGGCAGUGCUGGAGACUGCUUAGCAAAUCCUGCUGUGCCCUGGAGUCAAGGAAUUGAUAUCGAGAGAGCUCUGAAAAUGGUGCAAGUACAGGGAAUGACUGGAAACAUCCAAUUUGACACUUAUGGACGUAGAACAAAUUAUACUAUCGAUGUGUAUGAAAUGAAAGUCACUGGUUCUCGAAAAGCUGGCUACUGGAAUGAGUAUGAAAGGUUUGUGCCUUUCUCAGAUCAGCAAAUCAGUAAUGACAGUGCAUCCUCAGAGAACCGGACCAUAGUGGUGACUACCAUUCUGGAAUCACCAUAUGUAAUGUAUAAGAAGAACCAUGAGCAACUGGAAGGAAAUGAGCGAUAUGAAGGCUAUUGUGUAGACUUAGCUUAUGAAAUAGCCAAACAUGUAAGGAUCAAGUACAAAUUGUCCAUUGUCGCCGACGGGAAAUAUGGUGCAAGGGAUCCGGAGACUAAAAUAUGGAAUGGCAUGGUUGGAGAACUUGUCUAUGGGAGGGCUGAUAUAGCUGUUGCUCCACUCACUAUAACCCUGGUCCGUGAAGAAGUCAUCGAUUUCUCAAAGCCAUUUAUGAGCCUGGGCAUCUCCAUCAUGAUAAAGAAGCCUCAGAAAUCAAAACCAGGAGUGUUCUCAUUUCUGGAUCCCUUGGCUUAUGAAAUCUGGAUGUGCAUUGUCUUCGCUUACAUUGGUGUCAGUGUAGUUCUUUUCCUAGUCAGCAGAUUCAGCCCUUAUGAAUGGCACUUGGAAGACAACAAUGAAGAACCUCGUGACCCACAAAGCCCUCCUGAUCCUCCAAAUGAAUUUGGGAUAUUCAACAGUCUUUGGUUUUCCUUGGGUGCCUUUAUGCAGCAAGGAUGUGAUAUUUCUCCAAGGUCACUCUCUGGGCGCAUUGUUGGAGGGGUUUGGUGGUUCUUCACCCUGAUCAUAAUUUCUUCCUAUACUGCCAAUCUCGCUGCUUUCUUGACUGUGGAGAGGAUGGUUUCUCCCAUAGAGAGUGCUGAAGACUUAGCUAAGCAGACUGAAAUUGCAUAUGGGACCCUGGACUCUGGAUCAACAAAAGAAUUUUUCAGAAGGUCCAAAAUUGCUGUUUAUGAGAAAAUGUGGUCUUACAUGAAAUCAGCAGAGCCAUCUGUGUUUACCAAAACAACAGCAGACGGCGUGGCCCGAGUGCGGAAGUCCAAGGGAAAGUUCGCCUUCCUGCUGGAGUCAACCAUGAAUGAGUACAUUGAGCAGAGAAAACCAUGUGAUACGAUGAAAGUUGGUGGAAAUCUGGAUUCCAAAGGCUAUGGUGUGGCAACCCCUAAAGGCUCAGCAUUAAGAACGCCUGUAAACCUUGCAGUAUUGAAACUCAGUGAACAAGGCAUCUUAGACAAGCUGAAAAACAAAUGGUGGUACGAUAAGGGGGAAUGUGGAGCCAAGGACUCCGGGAGUAAGGACAAGACCAGCGCUCUGAGCCUGAGCAAUGUGGCAGGCGUUUUCUAUAUACUUGUCGGAGGUCUGGGGCUGGCCAUGAUGGUGGCUUUGAUAGAAUUCUGUUACAAAUCACGGGCAGAGUCCAAACGCAUGAAACUUACAAAGAACACCCAAAACUUUAAGCCUGCUCCUGCCACCAACACUCAAAAUUAUGCUACAUACAGAGAAGGCUACAACGUGUAUGGAACAGAGAGUGUUAAGAUCUAGGGGCAAAUGGAUUUCAAUCGAGCAAGCCACAGAACACUAUUUACCCUCUGUACCAGAUCCCUUCCCAUUAGAGGCAUGUGAGGAGAGGAAUCACCGAAAACGUGGCUGCUUCAAGGAUCCUGAGCCAGAUUUCACUCUCCUUGGUGUCGGGCAUGACACGAAUAUUGCUGAUGGUGCAAUGACCUUUCAAUAGGAAAAACUGAUUUUUUUUUCCUUCAGUGCCUUAUGGAACACUCUGAGACUUGCAACAAUACAAACCAUCAUUGAAAUCUUUUUGCUUUGCUUGAGAAAAAUUUAAAAAAAAAAACAAAAAAAAAUGGACAUGCAAGAUUCCAGUAUGUGAAAAAAAAAUCUUACUAAAAAAAAGUCAAUUCAACAAAAGCCAUUCUUUGAUACCACUGCACAGUACUUAAACACCAUGUUCUUUAAUACACACACACAAAUUUAAAAUUCCAGUUCAGCAAAUAGGCCCAUCUUAGCUAAAAUAAUUUCUCCUGAUAAAAAUUCUUUGACUCCCUGUGUGUGGGAAGACAGACUGGCAUUUGUUCUAGGAUCUGCUGACCAGAUGUUUUUGGUAUUUCCUGUUGGUGAUGAAGUUC